AGGGUUUUGAACUUCUCCUGAUUCUUAGUUCUCUUUCUCUUCUACUUCUUCCUCCUCCUCCUCCUUCUCUGCCACUAUCCCCACCUUCAUUCCAGGGUUUAAGAAAACCCUACUUCUCUCAAUCCAUGGAGUCUCUCGCUAAACUUCAGCACCGUCACCAACCCUUUAACCUCUCACUCAAUCCCCACCGUCCGUCAUUCCCAAAACCAAUUUCUUCCUUCAGACCCCCAAGCUCAUCACCGCCUUUCAACUUCACUUCCCUCACUAUCAGAGCCUCGUCCUCGUCCUCUUCACCAUCCUCCGCCGACCCACCUCACCAAAACCCCCAAAACCCUAAACCCUCACCCUUCCAAACCCUAGCCCCUCUCGCCUCCCCUCUCCUCAAGACCACUUGCGCCGCCAUAGCCGCAGCCGCAUUCUUCUUCAUGCGCUUCCACAACAGAACCGCAGUGGCCUCCCCCACAGCCGCGCCUUCUACUGUGGAGCCCAGAGAAGAAGUUUCGUCCACUGACAGCGUUACGGUCGAAGAGAAAGAGAGGCUCAUUGAAGAGCAAUUGAGCCAAAACCCCGACGAUGUUGAAGCGCUGAGGUCAUUGAUGGAGGUUAGGAUCAAAGCCCACAAAUUGACCGAAGCGAUUCAGGUGCUGGACCGCUUGAUCGAGCUCGAACCUGAAGACUAUGAGUGGCAAUUGCUGAAAGCCAAUGUUCAUAGCUACAUGGGUGAGUUUGAACUCGCUACCAGUGAGUUCGAGGAGAUUUUGGCCAAAGACCCUUUGCGAGUUGAGGCCUAUCAUGGUCUUGUGAUGUCUGCUUCGCAAUCCCCCGAGAAAUUGGAGAAUGUGGUGACGAGAGUGGAAAAGGCAAUGGAGGGUUGCAAGAAGCUGGGGAACAAGUCGGAUGUGAGGGAUUUUAAGCUGUUAAUUGCCCAAAUUCGCGUGAUGGAGUCAAAUUAUUCAGAAGCUUUGAAGCUUUAUCAAGAGCUUGUGAGGGAAGAACCGAGAGAUUUCAGGCCUUAUCUGUGUCAAGGAAUCAUUUAUACUAUGUUGAGGAAGAAUAAAGAGGCUGAGAAACAGUUUGAAAAGUUUAGGAAGCUUGUUCCCAAGAACCACCCUUAUAAAGAGUAUUUCGAUGACAAUAUGUUUGCCACGAAGCUUUUUGGGCAGAAGGUGGAGAGGGAGAGAGCAGAGUCGAACAUCUGAGGGAAUUAUGUUGCUGAAUUUUAGCUCAUUCUGGUGGCUGGCUUCUGUAAUGUGGUGGUUGACUCUUGGUUUCUCUCUGCCUGUUUUUGGUUAAUGCUUUGGCUGGUAGUGUUCAUGCAAACUGUAGUCAUCAUGUGUGGCUAUUGAUGCUGUACUUGGUUCAAAGUUGUUCCACAUCUCAUUAGGGGUUGAAGUUGGUGCGAAUGUUCAUAACAGGGAAGCUGUUCGUGAUGAACUGCAGUAGUUUGUACAUGAGCAUUUUCGUAUAACUCGGAUGUGAUCAUUUGCGUUGAUGACUCAGUUUGAGCUUUAUACAUAGCAAUGUGGCAGUGGACCAGUUGUAGUUGUUAUGUUGACAGUGUGUAUGUGUAUACACAAAUUGCACAUAACUAUGAAGGUGGUGAUGAAGAUGUUGACAAUUAUGAUAUGAUUGUGUGUGUAUAAUUUGUAGCAUAUUUUGAUAUGCAGUAUGGACUGGAUCUAUUCUGGAACAAAUGCAGAUUUGAAUCUU